UACGUAGGGUGCAAGCGUUGUCCGGAAUUAUUGGGCGUAAAGAGCUCGUAGGCGGUUUGUCGCGUCUGCUGUGAAAACGCGAGGCUCAACCUCGCGCCUGCAGUGGGUACGGGCAGACUAGAGUGCGGUAGGGGAGAUUGGAAUUCCUGGUGUAGCGGUGGAAUGCGCAGAUAUCAGGAGGAACACCGGUGGCGAAGGCGGAUCUCUGGGCCAUUACUGACGCUGAGGAGCGAAAGCGUGGGGAGCGAACAGG
rnacentral:rRNA from 1 species